GUACUACUCCCUCUGUCCCAUAUUAAGUGCCGAAAUAUUACAUGUAUCUAGACAUAUUUUAGUACAUAUAUACUUCCAUUUUUAGACAAAUUUGAGUCACUUAAUACGGGACGGAGGGAGUAGAAC
rnacentral:pre_miRNA from 1 species